GGAGGUAGUGACAAUAAAUCACAAUGCGGGACUUUUAGUUUUGCAAUUGGAUUGAGAACAAUGUAAAAGAGUUAUCGAUAAACAAUUGGAGGGCAAGUCUGGUGCCAGCAGCCGCGGUAAUUCCAGCUCCAAUAGCGUAUAUUAACGUUGUUGCAGUUAAAAAGCUCGUAGUUGAAGUGUGGGGUGAAAAGUUGGUUGUUUCUUUGAAAUGGCUGUCUGCUUACCCCCUCUCCAAUGUGUUAUUAUGGGUAUUAAUUUACUUGUAAUAGCUAUUGGUCAUUUACUGUGAGAAAAUUAGAGUGUUCAAAGCAGGCAUUUGCUUGAAUAUAUUAGCAUGGAAUAAUAGUAAAAGGCUUUUGUGGUCGAUUUAAUUGGUUUGUUCAUAAAAGCAAGAUUAAUAGGGACAGUUGGGGGUAUUCAUAUUCAAUAGUUAGAGGUGAAAUUCUCGGAUUUAUGGAAGAUGAACAAGUGCGAAAGCA
rnacentral:rRNA from 1 species